CAGGAUGAACGUUGGCUGUGUGCCUAAGGUAUGCAAGUCGAACGAUCCCUUUGAACUACUUGAGACUUCGGUUGAUUGUUUUUCUUUUUGGGAUAGUGGCAAACGGGUGAGUAACACGUGGAUAACCUACCUCGAAGUCAUGAACAGCUCAUCGAAAGAUGGGAUAAUACAUGAUGGUCUUAUAUUUUCUUUAUGAUUUUAUAAGUAAAGCUUUUGCGCUUUGAGAGGGGUCCGCGUCCUAUCAGCUUGUUGGUGAGGUAAUGGCUCACCAAGGCUAAGACGGGUAGCUGGCGUGAGAGCGCGGUCAGCCACCAUGGAACUGAGACACGGUCCAUACUCCUACGGGAGGCAGCAAUUAGGAAUCUUGCGCAAUGGGGGCAACCCUGACGCAGCGACACAGCGUGGAGGACGAAGGUCUUAGGAUUGUAAACUCCUUUUAUAUGGGAAGAAUAGAUGACGGUACCAUAUGAAUAAGCACCUGCUAACUACGUGCCAGAAGCAUCGGUGAUGCGUAGGGUGCAAACGUUAUCCGGAUUUAUUGGGCGUAUAGAGAUGCGUAGGCGUUUUUGUAAGUCUUUAGUUAAAUAUCACGGCUCAACCGUGGACAAGCUUUGGAUACUGCAAGAAUUGAGACAGGAAGAGGCGAACAGAAUUCCCAGUGGAGCGGUGAAAUGCGUUGAUAUUGGGAGGAAUAUCAGUGGCGAAGGCGGUUCGCUGGUCCUUGUCUGACGCUAAGGCUCGAAAGCGUGGGUAGCAAAACGGAUUAGAUACCCGUGUAGUCCACGCCGUAAACUAUGGAUGCUAGGUGUUCGGUACAACUAUUUUUUCCUUCGGGAAAUGAUGGAAGUAUUGAGUACCGCAGUUAACACGUUAAGCAUCCCGCCUGGGAAGUACG
rnacentral:rRNA from 1 species